rnacentral:rRNA from 1 species
GACGAACGCUGGGGGCGUGCCUAAUACAUGCAAGUAGAACGCUGAAGAGAGGAGCUUGCGCUUCGUGGGUGAGUUGCGAACGGGUGAGUAACGCGUAGGUAACCUGCCUUGUAGCGGGGGAUAACUAGUGGAAACGAUAGAUAAUAGCGCAUAACAAUGGAUGACACAGGGGGGGUAGUUGAAAGGGGCAAUUGCGGCACGACAAGAUGGACCUGCGUUGUAUUAGCGAGUAGGUGAGGUAAUGGCUCACCUAGGCGACGAUACAUAGCCGACCUGAGAGGGUGAUCGGCCACCCUGGGACUGUGACCCGGCCCAUUCUCCUACGGGAGGCACCAGUACUGCUUCUUCGGCCAUGGGUGCAACACUUACCGCGCAACGCCGCGUGCGUGCACAACGUCUCCGGAUCCUAAAUCUCGGUUGUCAGUUAAGAACCGGUGUUCGCCUGGAACGUUCACUCUGUGACGGUAGCUUAUCAGAAAGGGACGGCUAACUACGUG